UCAAGAUUUCAACAUCACGAAAUAAAAUGGGAGGGGAAAACGUCUUGUGAAUAUCACUUAUUACUCAAGUGUCAGAACAUCUUCCAUCCUGGAAAGUUCUAAAACAGACCUGUGAAUUGAAUAAGGAGAUGAACUUCAGGUCUCAAUGACAGAAAAAAAAAAAAAACAACCCAGAUCAACCCGUCUUACACAAAAUCAGGAAGGCAGUGGCUCAUAUAACUAACUUGAACCUGAGAGGCUUUAAGUUGGAGCUACUUGCUGCAAAAGGAGACAAAAUCUUGAGUAUGGAGACAACAGAGGAGGAUUGAGUGACAUUGGCAAAAGCACCGAGGCUUUGUAACGUUGUUUGGGCCCCUCUGGACAUUGCUCUCCAGGGCAAUUUGAGUUGGGUUUUUAUCAGUUGGUACUAGAGGAAUCAAUUGACUCACCUGCCGGCCUGGAAGACUUGGUGAAGUAGUUGUGGCUACAAUCACAUUCUAUACAUCUAGUGUAUGCAAGUUUCUCAGAGGACAGAUAUGCUUGGCAAAACUUGUGCAAGUGAAGGCACUGGUCCUGCAUUCUAUUUCUGCUGUCACAGAAAGCAAUCUCCACUUGAAUAGUGAGGGCCAGGUGCCUUGGCAUAUGGGAAGAGCACACAACCUGCUAUGGGAAGACUUGUCCUUUAGUUCCCGCUCUGAAACUGCCCAUCUUGGUGGUCUGGCUGACUUCAUUCCAAGGAUAGUAGUUAAGACCUGGAGGUUCCUGUUUCAUAAAUGAGGAUAUUUUUCUUUUCAUUGGUCGAUAUUUCUGCAGCACUCAUAAGGCAAGAAGUGGUGUUGAAAAAGGAUGGAUCAAAUGAACAGCCUGGCCUCCCUUGACUCGAAGAAGAGUGCAGGU
rnacentral:lncRNA from 10 species